GACGAACGCUGGCGGCGUGCUUAACACAUGCAAGUCGAACGGAAAGGCCCUGCUUUUGUGGGGUGCUCGAGUGGCGAACGGGUGAGUAACACGUGAGUAACCUGCCCUUGACUUUGGGAUAACUUCAGGAAACUGGGGCUAAUACCGGAUAGGAGCUCCUGCUGCAUGGUGGGGGUUGGAAAGCUUCGGCGGUUGGGGAUGGACUCGCGGCUUAUCAGCUUGUUGGUGGGGUAGUGGCUUACCAAGGCUUUGACGGGUAGCCGGCCUGAGAGGGUGACCGGCCACAUUGGGACUGAGAUACGGCCCAGACUCCUACGGGAGGCAGCAGUGGGGAAUAUUGCACAAUGGGCGGAAGCCUGAUGCAGCAACGCCGCGUGCGGGAUGACGGCCUUCGGGUUGUAAACCGCUUUCGCCUGUGACGAAGCGUGAGUGACGGUAAUGGGUAAAGAAGCACCGGCUAACUACGUGCCAGCAGCCGCGGUGAUACGUAGGGUGCGAGCGUUGUCCGGAUUUAUUGGGCGUAAAGGGCUCGUAGGUGGUUGAUCGCGUCGGAAGUGUAAUCUUGGGGCUUAACCCUGAGCGUGCUUUCGAUACGGGUUGACUUGAGGAAGGUAGGGGAGAAUGGAAUUCCUGGUGGAGCGGUGGAAUGCGCAGAUAUCAGGAGGAACACCAGUGGCGAAGGCGGUUCUCUGGGCCUUUCCUGACGCUGAGGAGCGAAAGCGUGGGGAGCGAACAGGCUUAGAUACCCUGGUAGUCCACGCUGUAAACGGUGGGUACUAGGUGUGGGGUCCAUUCCACGGGUUCCGUGCCGUAGCUAACGCUUUAAGUACCCCGCCUGGGGAGUACGGCCGCAAGGCUAAAACUCAAAGGAAUUGACGGGGCCCCGCACAAGCGGCGGAGCAUGCGGAUUAAUUCGAUGCAACGCGUAGAACCUUACCUGGGUUUGACAUGGAUCGGGAGUGCUCAGAGAUGGGUGUGCCUCUUUUGGGGUCGGUUCACAGGUGGUGCAUGGCUGUCGUCAGCUCGUGUCGUGAGAUGUUGGGUUAAGUCCCGCAACGAGCGCAACCCUUGUUCACUGUUGCCAGCACGUUAUGGUGGGGACUCAGUGGAGACCGCCGGGGUCAACUCGGAGGAAGGUGGGGAUGACGUCAAGUCAUCAUGCCCCUUAUGUCCAGGGCUUCACGCAUGCUACAAUGGCUGGUACAGAGAGUGGCGAGCCUGUGAGGGUGAGCGAAUCUCGGAAAGCCGGUCUCAGUUCGGAUUGGGGUCUGCAACUCGACCUCAUGAAGUCGGAGUCGCUAGUAAUCGCAGAUCAGCAACGCUGCGGUGAAUACGUUCCCGGGGGCU
rnacentral:rRNA from 1 species